rnacentral:rRNA from 1 species
GACGAACGCUGGCGGCGUGCUUAACACAUGCAAGUCGAACGGUGAAAGGGAGCUUGCUCCCUGGAUCAGUGGCGAACGGGUGAGUAACACGUGGGCAACUUGCCCCAGACUUCGGGAUAACGCUUCGAAAGAGGUGCUAAUACCGGAUACGAACUCCUUGGGCAUCCUUGGAGUUGGAAAGUUUUUCGGUCUGGGAUGGGCCCGCGGCCUAUCAGCUUGUUGGUGAGGUAACGGCUCACCAAGGCGACGACGGGUAGCCGGCCUGAGAGGGUGACCGGCCACACUGGGACUGAGAUACGGCCCAGACUCCUACGGGAGGCAGCAGUGGGGAAUAUUGCACAAUGGGCGCAAGCCUGAUGCAGCGACGCCGCGUGAGGGAUGACGGCCUUCGGGUUGUAAACCUCUUUCAGCACCGACGAAGCGCAAGUGACGGUAGGUGCAGAAGAAGGACCGGCCAAUUACGUGCCAGCCGCCGCGGUAA